CGAAGGAUCCAAGCGUUGUCCGGAUUUACUGGGUUUAAAGGGUGCGUAGGCGGACUUUUAAGUCAGUGGUGAAAGCCUGUAGCUUAACUAUAGAAUUGCCAUUGAAACUGAAAGUCUCGAGUGUGGUUGAGGUAACUGGAAUAUAUCAUGUAGCGGUGAAAUGCUUAGAUAUGAUAUAGAACACCAAUUGCGAAGGCAGGUUACUGAGCCAUUACUGACGCUGAGGCACGAAAGCGUGGGGAUCAAACAGGAUUAGAUACCCUGGUAGUCCACGCUGUAAACGUUGCAUACUCGAUCUUAGCGAUAUACAGUUAGGAUCCAAGCGAAAGCGUUAAGUAUGCCACCUGGGAAGUACGUUCGCAAGAAUG
rnacentral:rRNA from 1 species